CAAGGCAAAACCUGCAAACUCAAGCAUCCUCAAAGGUGGUACUGUGAGGUCCCCCCUUCCAUCUUUCCUGCCCCCAUUGAAACUCCGUAUGUUCUUAAUUACCAGCCACUGUGGUUUGAUUCAGUGGAAGGAACGUUGCACUCAUGUGUGGUUUGCUUUUCUUUUUUUAAAUCUUUCCCAGUGAGCAGAAUUUCCAGAGCGCAACAGGCUGGUGAACCCGUGACUGAGAGGUCAGCACACACACGUGGGAAGGCUGAGGUGGGAGGUAUUUCUGCAUCAGCUGUGCCUUGGAGACUGUUGGCCAGAAGACCUUCAAUGGUUACUACAGCAGCGCUACCUACCAUAUGGAUUUUCAUACUGUUAAGGGUCAGUUUUAUAGUCUGGCAAAGAAAAGGCUGUAGAGUCUUGUUAGCUUCCAAUUCAAGAGUCAGAAAGAACAGGAGAGGUGCCCUGGAUGUCCAGUUGGAGACAGCUAAAAUAAAAGAGCAGAGAUGAUUAUGAUUAUCCUGGAGAAGAAAAGUGAUUAGUUUUUCAAGUAUCAUUAAAGAGAAACUAAGUUUCACCAUGUAACAGAGAGUGUGUGUUUCCUAAUCUACCUGGGAAAAAUCUGGGUCCAAAGCCUCUUUCUUAUAGAGCUGCUCGAUUUGGGAAAAAGACAAAAGUCAACUAUAAGGUGGGCUUUGCUUGUGCCCUUAAUGGAAAACAACUUAAAGAGCCUGUGGGCUGCCAUUAGCCUAGAGAUCCUUGUGAGGCUCUCUCUACCUCAUUCUAAGCCCAGCAUCCCCAGUAGGACACAGCAUCCUUGUAAUUCACAAAACCGAGCAGGAAAUGAUGUCGCCUCCUCACAAGAAACUGCAUAACCGGGGAGGAGAGAGAGAUAUGUUGUCUGUACUGCAGAAACUUUGUUAAUGUUUGCAAGGGAAUAAAAUAUUACAAGUCAGCAUUUUCUCUUAUCUUGUCCUCCAAACGCAGUUCCUACCAGAGCUCACAAACACGUGCCUCAUUGUCCUGGGUUUUCUUUAUUCUCCUGAUGCAAGGUCAGCUCUUGGAAGCAACACUACCCCAGUUUUUGAGUAUUUCAUUUUUAGGAAGGAAAUAAUUAACACUGACUGGGCACCUACUCAGGUCCAGAAACAAUGUUACUCCACUUUACAAACGUGGAAAGAAACUGAGGCUUUUUGGAGGAAAGUCAGUGUUCUUAGGUCUGUUGUUCACUCACUAAGUCCUGUCUGACUCUUUUGCAACCCCAUGGACUACAGCCCACCAGGUUCCUCUGUCGAUGGGAUUUCCCAGGCAAGAAUACAUGGAGUGGGUUGCCAUUUCUGUAAAUGCUCUUACUCUAUUUGGAGACACUUGGAUGAAUCAUGAGAGUGAUUGUUAUGUGGACAGCUAGCAGCUCAAGAAAAUGUGAUGGAAAACUUAACCAUCUUUUCCUUUAGCAUCUGCUUUCGUCUGGUGCCGUCAGCCAGAUAAUGACAUCUUUGUUUACU
rnacentral:lncRNA from 1 species